UACGAAGGUGGCAAGCGUUGUUCGGAUUUACUGGGCGUACAGGGAGCGUAGGCGGUUGGAUAAGCCCUCCGUGAAAUCUCCAGGCUUAAACCUGGAAAGUGCAGAGGGGACUGUUCAGCUAGAGGAUGGGAGAGGAGCGCGGAAUUCCCGGUGUAGCGGUGAAAUGCGUAGGAGAUCGGGAGGAAGGCCGGUGGCGAAGGCGGCGCUCUGGAACAUUUCUGACGCUGAGGCUCGAAAGCGUGGGGAGCAAACAGG
rnacentral:rRNA from 1 species